UGGGGAAUUUUGGACAAUGGACGCAAGUCUGAUCCAGCCAUGCCGCGUGCGGGAAGAAGGCCUUCGGGUUGUAAACCGCUUUUGUCAGGGAAGAAACGAGUUUCUCUAAUACAGAGACUUAAUGACGGUACCUGAAGAAUAAGCACCGGCUAACUUCGUGCCAGCAGCCGCGGUAAUACGAAGGGUGCAAGCGUUACUCGGAAUUACUGGGCGUAAAGCGUGCGUAGGUGGUGGUUUAAGUCAGAUGUGAAAGCCCUGGGCUCAACCUGGGAACUGCAUUUGAUACUGGAUCACUAGAGUGAGGCAGAGGGGGAUGGAAUUCCGCGUGUAGCAGUGAAAUGCGUAGAUAUGCGGAGGAACACCGAUGGCGAAGGCAAUCCCCUGGACCUGUACUGACGCUCAUGCACGAAAGCGUGGGGAGCAAAC
rnacentral:rRNA from 1 species